rnacentral:lncRNA from 1 species
CGUGCCUCAGCCUCCCAAGCAGCUGGGAUUACAGGCAUGUGCCACCCAUGCCCAGCUAAUUUUUGUAUUUUUAGUAAAGACCAGGUUUCACCACGUUGGCCAGGCUGGUCUCGAACUCCUGGCCUCAAGAGAUCUGCCCACCUCGGCCUCCCAAAGUGCUGAGAUUACAGGCAUAAGCCAUCGCACCAGGCCUCAGAAAUUUGUACACUUGAUCUUAGCCAAAAGGCCAAGAAGUGAUGGGCCUCAGAAAUUUUUAAAGAUGGAUUGAGAAGUUAAAAAUUGCCCAUCUAUGCUUCCUUAUUGCCUUAACUUUCUGUCACAAAAUAAGGCUGUGACCUGCAGAGUUACACCUUCUGGUGCCUGGGUAGAAGCAGCAAAUCUCCCAAGGCACUCCAGCUGUAGCUGGUCCCCAUAGUCAUGAUGGCGGGCAUGCUGACAUUCCUAAUUAAAGGACCUUGGUUGCAAUUCCUUGCUCAAAUUAUCCAUAGACACUUUAUUACAUGCAGGUUCAUUCUAUGGAUGUGUUUCUAGCAAUACCUUGUUCUGCUUGGGUCGUUGUUUACUGCCUACCAAUUUUGUCCAUGUCUAGCCCAACCUGAGCUAACUGGUGGGGUGGGGUGGGCCUCCCCCACUGACUGAAGUUUGACACCUUCAUCUCCACCUAAAUGGAGGGCUCAAAACCAUGUUAACUGGGAACACAGCAAGGGAGAUGAAAAUAUUAUUUUUCUUUAAACUCCUAACUUACUACUGUUUCCCUGACUUUAACAAGAAUCACAUCAAGUGCGUCUUGAAAAAUACAGACUCCUAGGUUGUACCCCAAGGUUUCUCAUCUAAGAGGCCUUGGAUGGGACCCAGCAAUCUUAAGAUCAAAUUUGGGAAGUACUGUUGCAGAAACUCUGCAAAGCAUGCUUUAUUUCCCUCCCACCCACCCUAUCCUCACCCCGCCAAAUUAUAGUGGUGUAAAUACUGUUUGCCUUAAUAGGAUGUAAACUCCAAAGGGCAGGGAUCAAGUUUGUCAUAUCCACCUUUGCAUCCCAGUUCCUGACACAAUCAUGAUAUGGCUCAGUUCCUAACACUCUGCUAAGAGAAACACAUAGUCUCAUAUCCCAGAGAAAAUGGUGAGGAUCUGAUGUCUCAAGGAUAGCUCUUCCCCAGAUCUUCCUUUAUCCCUACCAUGAGGCACUAUAUUUUUGGUCUGGUUGUAAAACAUCAGGUAGAUUCCUGAGAAGGGCGCAUCUCGAAGGAGAGUUGCUGUCAGGCCACUGAAGAGGCCCCGGUGCCCCUCACUGUGAUAGAUGCUCCUCAGGGCAGCGUAGAUACUCUCAUAGCCAUAUUUCCCACUCUGCAAAGAGAGCACAGAACCAGUGACUCGCAUGGAGGCGCUGCAUUUCAGCACUGAACAAGCAGACUGCAGGUUAUGGGGCAUUACCAUGGGAUCUAGUUCACAUAUGGCUUGUCUGACCACAUCAGACUCUAUGUUAGAUUACAAAUCAGGAGUUGACAUCGGUGGUCACUCCCCAGGAGCCCAGUGGCUAAGCCGAACUAUCCUGAGGCCCUAAAGUGGUUGAACUCACCUCAUAGCGCGUCUUGAUUACAGUGAUAGGUGACAUACAGACCCCUGCAACAGAGCGAGAGCCCACCCCCAGCAUGACUGACUCCAGGGCGGUUGGGGGAUGGCCUCGCAAGAAAUACUGCUUCAAAGAGUAGAGAGUGCCAAAGUAGAUUCCAACGCCAGGGACACAUCUCACAAUGGACUGCAGAGAAGGUCAGGGAGAAAAGAAAAUCAAAGACCAAACACUUUAAGUAUUAUCUUAGCUGGGUUUUCCCAAAAGACCCCAAGAUGAUUCGCAUGCAAGUGCUUUGUUUAAGGUGUGGAAGGAACACCAAUAGGGAAGUGGGGGACAUGAGAUAGGAGAGAAGGCAGUCAAUAAACGAUGUUAUAAAACCAGUUUCUGCUGUGGGCAACUUAAUCCCACUGGGGAACUCUGGGAAUCGGUGUAGAACACACCUCAGAGUUAUCCCUCCAACUGAGUGGGGAGGGACAUGGGAUUUUAAACACCAACUCUCAUCUUUCAGUGGUUGAGGACUCUGUGGGUUUGGAAAUGCACAGUGCUGUGGGUUAGGAAAUCAACAUCACUUCUGUGGUCUCCUUGCUAAAAAUGUAGAACUAAAUCUAAUCACAAAGAAACUGCAAAUAAACCUACAGUGAGUUAUAUAACUGGCCUAUACUCUUGAAAACAAAACACAAAAUUACUCUGAAGUACAUUACUGGGAUAAUAGAGAAAUCAGUGUAUGGAUUUCUGAUUUGGGUUUGGGCUGGGCACUAAUUCCUUGGCGUGAGUCCCUAAGGCCAGAAAAAGCCUUUGAGCAAAGAAAUGCUGGUGUGGAGGUACCAUCCCACUUUUACUGAAGUGAUAAGAGCAAGGGCAUUCUGACAGGUGGGACAUUAGGUACCUAUGCUGUAGAGACUAUGCUGCACUAAUAAAUCACAUCUAAGCAUAAUGUGCAAAUGCAACAUAUCCCUGAGCCUUCAAACAGAAGUUAGUUGUAGUAUGAGAGAUAAGACCACAUAGGUACUCCCACCACUUCUGACUCUCACAUAUCCUUAAGAGCUGGUAAGGUAGAUGAGAAAUAGCUGGUUAUUAAGGAGUGGAUGCUAGGGAACCUAGACCCAGAUGGCAGCUUACAGGGGACAUCCCUUUCCAAAGGCCCAAAAGACUCUCCGUGCGAACCACCUUCAAGAGUACAGCCAACAUCCCAACACGUCUAGACCUGAAAGCAGACAAAAUGGAGACAGGAAGGAAAAAAUCACUUAGAUCACUUCCUCAUAAAACAAUUCCCCACUCAAACACUUCCUUUAUAGACUCAUUUUUAGGACACUUAACAAUCUCUACAAUGCACCUUGGAGAUACUCUAUGUGUUCGUAGGUUGGCACACACAAAACAGACAAUAGAGGCUGGGUGCAGUGGCUCAUGCCUGUAAUCUCAGCACUUUGGAAGGCUGAGGUGGGCAGAUCACUCGAGGCCAGAAGUUUGAGACCAGCCUGGCCAACAUGGCGAAACCCCAUCUCUACCAAAAUUACAAAAAUUAGCUGGGUAUGGUGGCGAGCACCUGCAAUCCCAGCUACCUGGGAGGCUGAGGCAGGAGAAUCCCUUGAACCUGGGAGGCAGAGGUUGCAGUGAGCUGAGAUCGCACCUCUGCACUCCAAUCUGGGCAACAGAGCGAGCAUCUGCCUCAAAAAACAAAUAAAACAAAAACAAAAACAGAUAAUACUGAUGUUAUUUCCAGAAAAUCCCCUGGUACUCUCAUGCCAGGCAAUACAGUUAUAACAUCACAAGCUAACACAAUAAAGUGUAAAUGUCACUGAGCCGAUUCCAGGAAGCUGCUCAGGAACGGACCCCAUUUAAUUAAAAAGAAAUGUCAAAUAUAAAAACAAUUCAGAGAACAUAUGAAAGUUGGGCAUGGCCUGUGUUUCUCUCUGAACAUCCAACAGAAUGGAAGUUGACUUAACACAGUAAAGAUGUUCCUGUGUCUGAGAAGUUGCUGAAAUCAGUUCCCCAAUGAAAUGCAGGGCCUACCCAUGAUCUGAGGGCUGGAGGGUUUGCAGGCGUGUUUUAAGGAGAUCCAGAGGUUGGAAAAGGAGGGUAGAGCAGGUCCCACUGAUGGAGCCACACAGGAAAGCCUUGAUCACCGGAUGUAACUGCAGGAUAAGACAAUAUUGUGUCAGUAGCUCUGCCUGUGUGAGCCUCACCUUUCUCUAUACCUGACCAGCAAAUUCCUUUAUAAUGGUCUCUUAGACACUUACCUGGUGGUGCCUCAUGUUUUCUUCAUACCUCGGAGAAGGAAAAAGUAUAGCCAGAAAUUAAAAAUACUGCAAUGUUAUUGAGGACAUUGGAUGCUGCAAGAGGUAUCUCUGGUCUUCGUAUUGCUGAUAGACAUAUUGCUCAGUGGGAGCAAAACUAUUUCCAUGCCACUGACCACUCUUCCCUAUUUGUUCUGACUCAAAAAGUUACUGGUCAUCUCCCUAUCUUUGCAAAAGCAAAGUCAAUUGAAUGCAGUGCUUUCACUUUGAACUGAUGAUGUGCAGACUCCCUUCGCUCUAAGACCUAUAGGUAUUUAUAGGACCAAGCCAAAGCAAAUGAAACCUUAAGCUCAACCACUGUGUAAAAUGUAAGUGCCACUUCCUGUAGAACCUAGUAUUUCCUUCAUUUAAAACUUUCCCCUUACCAUCUCACUGGGCCCUAAGCAGAUCACACAGUCCUACAGACCAGUAGCCUCCCCUGGCUUUGCUGCUUCUCCUUCAACCCAUGAACCGUCAUAUACACUGGCUAAUCUACAGACACCACCUGGAAGGGUGGAACUCCUUCAAAGACUAAAUAUACCUCCCUUAGUUCCAGGAGCUGCAGCUUCCAGCACUGGUGCUAUCAUUACAGGACAGCAUCCUUUCUCCAGACCCCUAGAACCCAGUAGUAUCACAAAUGACUGUGAAAAGGUACUUAAAAUCCAACCAGUGACCUUCUUCCCCUUCCCUAAAAUAAAUAAAUAAAUAAAUAAACAAAUAGCUAUCUUCUCCAAAAAUGUUUGGCAAAUUCAUCCCCAAAGACCUCUUCCCUUAUUAAGUGGCAUUUGCACUAUUAUUUUUUAAAUAAAUGACACAUUGUGGCCCUAAAACAUUAAGAUGAAUAUAUAUAAAGUUUCCAUUACACAUCACAUAACUACUUACCUGGAACUGAAAUAUUUGUAAUCUGCAGUAUUUGCUUAACAGAGAAGAGAGUGUAUCUCAAAUUCCACCAAAGAAGCCAGUUAUAACUGGAAUUCCUCAUAAGACUGUUGGAGGCAGGGGGUGGGGGGAACUAAGGUCAUUAAAAACUGGAGUUUACAACCACGAUGCAAUAACUUCUGAAGUACCAAAGGGUGGUCUGAUAAGACAACAGGUAAAACCAAGUAAGGUGUGCGUAUUUUAGCAAGUCUGUAUCUACAUCAACUCCCUCUCCCCAAGAGGUGUCCUGCUCUUCUGCCAACCAAUAUUCUCAUGAGUUCUGUGUUUCUAGUCUCUCCCCAAGACUUUGUGGCAUUAAUGAGCCCCCCUUCUUCACACACUGGGUCUCUCGCUCCCACUGGCAUCUCCUCUUCUGCCAGGCAACAGGCUCCAAAGCAUCCAUCUUUCCAGCCUGACGCUACACCAUCUCCACUUGCUCUGUGCCAGUCCCUCCGCAGGCCCCCCCAGUUUGCUAUCCAGCUAAAUCUCCUCCACUAACACAGCCUCUGAGGGCUCACCAAGCACCUGCUGCACCCCAGGACCCCGUUCCUGUCCCUGCCCUUAUCUUACUUGGCCUCUCUGGUACAUGCCAUAUAGCUGAGUGCCUCUCCUCACAGUUUCUGGUUUCUCUCUCCUUCUCUUCUUUGGCCUGCCCUUCACAUAGGACUGCUCCUCUUAUCUCCUUUCAGAGUAACCUCACCCAUAUCCAGGCUUCACACACAUGCUGGUAAUGCCCACAUCUCCAGCCCAGGCUGGCCUCUCCCCAGACUCUGCUAAUGUCUCCUUGUCUUCCCUCAAAUGGCCCACAGGCAUCUCAAAUUCAACAUGUCCAAAAUGGAAACUUGGUCAACAGUUCUCCACACACUUGCCUCUUCUCCAAUCCACACUGGGAUACUCCAGGAAUCCAGGUUGGAAACCUCAGAGACACAUAAAACUCACCAUGCCUGCUGCUACAUGACCAAGUCCCACUGACCAAGCCCUCAAUCUUCCCAGUCUGGCCUCCACUGAUCCAUCCUAAUGACCUCUGCAGCAGUCUCCAGCCUCAACUAUGCCAACCCACCCUCCACUCUGCUCCCAGAGUAGCACUGGGCGAGGCAUCUAUAGACACCACCUCAAAAUCUCAUAGCAUCUUAUGAGCUAGGUAUUUUAAACCCGUUUUACAGAUUAAACUGGAGCUCACAGAGGUUACAAAUGUGUCCUAUGUCACAGGGGUUGAAGCCACUGGCCAGGACUUAAAGUUCAUACUCUUUUCACCAUACCACCCAGUCUAAAGUGAAAAUCCAGGAUACUUAGGCCACUCAGUGCAUUCCACUAUUCACCACCACUCCCUCCUUGAAAUGCUCUCUUCCUUUGGCUUCAGAGAUUAAUACUGUCCUGGGUUUCCUCCCACUUCUCUGGCCUCUCCCUUAAAUGAACCAUACUCCCAUGGCUCUUCAUCCACUUCCAAGGGUUCCAUUUCCACCCUCCCCUCCACACUCUCAGCCUCUCGCUGGAGCUCAGUCUCACACAGCCACGUACUCAGAUGGCCACCUCAGAUGAUGUUUCCAAACCUGAACUUACCUUUCUCCCACACCUCCGACCAGCUCCUCCUCCAAGGUGCCCCAUCCCAGUGAAUGCCAUGCCAUUUCUCUAGCACCCCAGCCAGAAACCUGAGCACCAUCCUUGGACUUGGCCUCUCCACACUUGUUCACUCUAUCUCCAAAACAGCUCUCAAAUCCACCAAUCCAUUCCAGCUGAGAACCCUGUUAUCUCUUGCCUUGGUGACGGCCACCAAUUUUUUACCCAUUUGUCAUCUAUAUGACCCCUCUAAUCCACUCUUUACCCUGAAGCCAUAGUCAUCUUCUGUUUUAUUAUUUAUUUAGAGACAAGGUCUUGCUCUGAUGCCUAGGCUGGAGUGUAGUGGCACAAUCAUGGCUCACUGCCAACCAUGACCUCUCAGGCUCAGGUGAUCCUCCCACCUCAGCCUCACGAGUAGCUGGGACCACAGGUGUGUGUCACCGUGCCCAGCUAAUUUUUUUGUAGAGACGGGGUUUCGCUAUGUUGCACAGGCUGGUCUCAAACUCCUGGACUCAAGCAAUCUGCUCACCUCUGCCUCCCAAAGUGUUAGCAUUAUAGGUGUGGGCCACCAUGCCCCGCCUGAGUCAUCUUUUAAAACUGCAAAUUUGAUCAUGCUGCUUUCAGAAAUAAAACCCUUCAAUGAAAGAUAAUGUUUUGUGAAAUUUGAAGUUACUAGCUUAAAAACAAGACCAAAAAAAAAGAUGGAAUAAAAAUACAAGUAAUGACAAAUGUAUUAGGAGCUACAGAGUAUCCCACAAAUUUGUCAUUAAUACUAAUUGAAUUAUAAUUUUAAAAAACCCAACCAAACCAAUACCCUUUAAUUGGUUCAUAUUCCUCUCAGGAUAAAGUCCAAACUGCUGGUUGCAGGGCCUUUCAUGUAUCACAGGGCUCCUGCUAACCGUUUUGGCCUAUGUUCUCACCCUCCCACUAACACACUCUGCAGCCAUACUGGAGGACUCCGCCUUACUUUCACCUCUGAAAACUCUGACAUGUUGUUAUGCCCUAGCACCGGUCUUGCUCCCUAACUCCCCCAUGUCCAAGUUCAGUGCCUCUCCUUCCGGCUUCUACAGCAACACCUGUCCCCAUCUCCCUUAUGACUGCGUGUCAAAGACAGAAUAGUCACAACUCCUGCCUGUCUUGUUCAUGGUGAUAUCUCAAGAACUGACCUCGGAGCCUGGUGCACAGUAGGUGUUCAGCAGUGACAGCGGAAUGAAUCUUACCACCUAACAGGAAACCUUAUGCUCUCCCUUUGAGCACAAUCCCACAUGAUAGGGCUCGGUGGGCCCUGCAUGACUCAUCCCAGGAUGGGUUAAUCUCCCCCACCUCUCUCCAGGCCCCUUGCUCCAGCAAGGCUAUAGGAAUGACCUGCAGUUAGUUUCUGGGCAGUUAUGUUAGGCGCUGCUUCCCCAGUGCUCACACAGGUGCUGUGUGGAAUUUGUUUUAAAACAAAUUUGCUGCUGUCCUUGACCUUCCCACCCUUGAUUGCAGGAAAUAUCUUCUUAACGUCUUUUAUUUCACAGCACAGUGAUUAGACAUGUUAUUGGCUCAAGUUAUUGAGCCAAUAACUUUUUUAGCUUUGUACUUUUCCCAGUCCAUUAGCACAGAGCAGAUGUUAUUUAUACUAGCAGUAUAGAUCAACUUCUAAUAGGCAAAAACAAGACAACAACAACAACAAAAACCAUCCCAACAGGUAAUACUGAAUGGUCUUAAGAUUUUUGUCAAUGGUGAAUGGCACACAUCCUUUGCGAGUGAACUUAACUUUUAAAAAGUAGCUCAAGGCCAAGCGCGGUGGCUCACACUUGUAAUCCUAGCACUUUAGGAGGCCGAGGCAGACGGAUCACUUGAGGUCAGGAGUUCAAGACCAGCCUGGCCAACAUGGUGAAACCCUCUCUCUACUAAAAAUACAAAAACUAGCCGGGCGUGGUGGCGCACGCCUGUAAUCCCAGCAACGUGGGAGACUGAGACAGGAAAAAUACUUGAACCCGGGAGUCAGAGGUUGCAGUUGAGCCGAGAUCACGCCACUGCACUCCAGCGCGGGCGACAGGGCGAGACUCUGUCUCAAAAAAAAAAAAAAAGAAAAAAGAAAAGAAAGCUCAAAAAUAUAUUCAAGGUAAAUAAAAAAGUAGUUUCUUUUUAAGGGGAGAAAGAAGAGGGCAUAAACAAUAAUACGCACACGAAAUAAGUAGCACAUAAGAGUACAAACUGGAUCCACAAGCAAUUCCUACUGCCCUGAAAAAACUAUCCUAAGUCCAAUUCACAUCUGGAGGCGAGGGCUGGAGAGCCCUGAAAAAGGUAAGCAGGUUUUCAAAGACGUCAACGUAAAGUCGCCACCGCCGCCGUCUCCGCCUUUAAGGAUUAAAAAAAAAAAUAAAAGCCGCCCCUACCUCGGGCGCAAGACCUCAGAGGGAGAGCUGCGGCAGCUGCAGUGGCCUCAGGCCUUUAGCGUCUAAAGACUGGUUGCACCCCGACUCCACCUACCGGGCAACCACGCCGCCAGCCCCGCCUCCGCCUCCACCAAUAGCGGCCCGGCGGCCCGGGCACGAUGACCAAUCGAACGCCGGAGGAGGCGUGGCGUCGCUGGGGGACCACGCGCCGUCCCAACAGGCUGGAAGGGUGCCGCCACGACUGGCCCCUCCAGGUAGGCCGCCGCCCGCGGGCGCACAGCGCUACCCGGCCAGCUCGCUGCGGCAUCAACGGCUUCUCAGCGUCAGCGCUAUUAUCAGGCCUUGUGACCGUCCCAAAUCUGCCCGGGUGCCCUUCCACCUGGCAGCCUACUCGCACCUUGUGGGGGCCGCGCGGGCACACUCCCCGGCACGCGUCCAGUCCAGGCCCCGGCAAUUCCGCCCUUUACCGGGACAUCGGCCCUACAGCGCCUGCCCCCAGGGCUGGCCUGCAGCUCCUGGCCUCUCCUCACUCCCUGCCCCCUUCUCAAUUCCCUUAGUCAGACUCCUCUCCCGCCGCAUCCUAAAUCCUGAGCGCACCCUGGGGCGCGGAAAAGGGUAGCCGAGCCUUAGCAACGCCCCGAAUUCUCCGGCCCGAGCCCGCGGUUCGGACCCCUGCCCUUCCUUCCCCGCAGUGCCCUCACCAUAAGCGUUUCCACCGUGUCUCCGACAUCUUGGGGUUGCAGCAGCGACGGACGACCAUAUUUCCCUUUAAAUGCUGAAAAUUUAGUGUGGAAUUGAUAUGUACUGUAUGCAUAAACCACACGCUGGAUGUCUAAGACUGGUGAGCAAGUCUUGACAUCUGGAGGAGUUUCCACCAUCCAAGAAGGAAAAGGCAAAGGUCCACAUGGGAAGCUGGAGGUGAAUGGGAGAGACAGAGGCUGCUCAGAUAGGGGCUUUGGUUUCCUGUCUGCCUGUCAGAGCAGGAGGAGGUGGGCCUUGCAGCACCUUGCAUCUGCGUCACUUCAUUUGUAAGAAGAUGGCUGGAAUGGUGAAAAGCACACAGCUAUAUCAUUACCUCCAGAUAUUGAAAGAGGACAUCUGAACCUGUGUGAUGUUGUAGAAAGAAGAUUGUCUAGGGUGUCAAAGCAGACAGAUGCCAGUUUGUGCUCAUCCUUUACCAGACUGGUGCCUACAGUGAGUCACACUUGUUAAGUACAGUGUGGUAAGUAAGAAUUCAGGUUCCAGAGUCAGACUGCAGCUCCAGUUCCUGAACUGUGUAAUUUGGGAGAGACACUCAGCUUUUCUGAGCCUCCUUAUCCUCAUCCGUAAAAUGAGGACAAUUACUAGCAUUGCUGGAGGAUUAAACAAAAUAAUAAAUAGAAGGCACUUACUUAGCACAGGUCCUGGCACAUGGUAAACAUUU